rnacentral:misc_RNA from 1 species
CGUGGCAAGUAUUUGAUUUACAAUGGUGGUGGUGAUAGAUGCAAGAGUAUGAAUCACUACUUGUGGAGUUUCUUGUGUGCAUUAGGUGAAGCACAGUAUCUAAAUCGAACUUUGAUUAUGGAUUUGACUAUUUGUUUGAAUUCCGUGUAUAGGAUGUAUAGUUCUUCAAAUCAAGAUGAGGAAGGAAAGGAUUUCAGGUUUUAUUUUGAUUUUGAGCAUUUGAAGGAGGCAGCAUCUGUGUUGGACCAGGCUCAGUUUUGGGAGGACUGGGGUAAAUGGCAUAAAAAGGAUAAGCUGAGUCUUUAUCUUUUGGAGGAUUUUAGGGUCACCCCUAUGAAGCUUGCGGAGGUUAAAGACACCCUAAUCAUGAGGAAGUUUGGAUCAGUUGAACCAGAUAAUUACUGGUACAGAGUGUGUGAAGGAGAAACAGAGUCUGUUGUUCAACGGCCAUGGCAUUUGAUAUGGAAAUCGAGAAGGUUGAUGGAUAUUGUGUCAGCAAUGGCCUCGAGAUUGAAUUGGGAUUAUGAUGCAGUUCACAUUGAGAGAGGGGAUAAAGCAAUGAACAAGGAACUCUGGCCUAAUCUUGCAGCGGAUACUUCUCCUGAUGCACUGCUUUCAACCUUGGCUAACAAGAUUGAAGACGGGAGGAACAUCUACAUUGCAACGAAUGAACCUGACACUUCCUUCUUUGACCCUUUGAAGGACAAGUACACAACUCAUUUUCUUGAUGAGUACAAGGAUCUUUGGGAUGAGAACAGUGAGUGGUACUUGGAGACAACCAAACUUAACAAAGGUGUUCCAGUUGAAUUUGAUGGUUAUAUGAGGGUGUCUGUUGAUACAGAAGUAUUCUUGAGAGGGAAAAAGCAGAUUGAUACAUUCAAUGAUCUUACUAACGAUUGCAAAGAUGGCAUAAACACCUGCAACACUGCUGCCAAUUAAUUCUAAUAUAGGAGAUUUGGAGCUUUUAUGUUGCUGCAUUGGAAUAGAAGCACGUGUACUUGUAGCCUUUGUUUUCGCUUUGAGGAACUGCUUAGCAUUAUUUGUUAGUUUUGAUAGCAGUGUCAUGAAUUUUGUACUUGUAGAACAUUAUCCGCUAUUAUCAUCAGUGUUUCUAUUCCAAUGCAGCAACAUAAAAGCU